rnacentral:rRNA from 1 species
GACGAACGCUGGCGGCGUGCUUAACACAUGCAAGUCGAACGGCAAGGCCCUGCUUUUGUGGGGUGCUCGAGUGGCGAACGGGUGAGUAACACGUGAGUAACCUGCCCUUGACUUUGGGAUAACUUCAGGAAACUGGGGCUACUACCGGAUAGGAGCUCCUGCUGCAUGGUGGGGGUUGGAUAGUUUCGGCGGUUGGGGAUGGACUCGCGGCUUAUCAGCUUGUUGGUGGGGUAGUGGCUUACCAAGGCUUUGACGGGUAGCCGGCCUGAGAGGGUGACCGGCGACAUGGGGACUGAGAGACGGCCCAGACUCCUACGGAAGGCAGCAGUGGGGAAUAUUGCCCAAUGGGCGGAAGCCGGAGGCAGCAACGCCGCGUGCGGGAUGACGGCCUUCGGGGUGUAAACCGCUUUCGCCUGUGACGAAGCGUGAGUGACGGUAAUGGGUAAAGAAGCACCGGCUAACUACGUG